rnacentral:lncRNA from 1 species
AUUUAAUACACAACCUCAAAACACUUUUAUUACCGGUCGAUUUGCUUAUAGCCACAGCCAAAUGGCAGGAUGUACAAUCACAUGCAGAAGAAAAUAUUUAUUUUGACUCACAAGCCGAAGGGAUUAAGAGAACAUUGUAUUAACCUUGCCUUUCAUCUAUGUUUUAAAGGGAAACUCUCCAGAGGCGUCCAUUGAAGUUCUGUUUUUUUAAAUAUAAAGUGUAUCAAAGACUUUUAGGAGACCAGGUGUGUGUUUAUCUGACUAUCUUUCAAAAAUCUGCUUCAGAGACUGCAAAAAGAUGUAUGUUCAGGAAUCUAUUUCAGGCAUUCUUACCAGCCAGCUAGUUACCCUACCCCCACUCCCUUCCCUGGCUCCCCCCACCCCCACCCCCCGCUUGCCGCUUCGAAACAAAAUAGCUUCUUUCCAAGCAGGUUGUUAUCAUAUUCAUGGCAUGGUCAAUUUCCGUUUGCCAAGAAAAUAUUUAGGCUGAUCAAAGACAUUAGAAAAUCGGAUGAAUAGAAACAGACCUUCCCACAAGAGAAGCGUUUCUCAACGUGAAGAGGCAGGCGGGUUGCAGCCCACCCAGUUACUCCUAGGAAAUAGCUCUCUUGCUAAAGGCAGAACUAUGGGGCCACCUGGAUUCUACCGGAAGGGCUAUGGAAGAGUCCGGAAAUGCACGUGAGGGCUGGAGCUUGGGACUCUCUGAUGGCGGACAUGUAAGGAGAUGCUCGGUUCUAGUAUCUAUCAGCAAACCUAGAAGGCCUUUAAUUACAUCCAUUAACACAGAGGGACCUUUCAAGACUGAAGAUGAAGCAGCAAGUGGAUGGGAAAGAACCUUGACAACACAAAACUCAUUUACUAAUGGACUGGUUUUGGAUUUCUCUCCUUCGGGUCCGCACAUCGCCCUGCCUGAGCCCUCGGCCUAUCCAGAACUCGCGGGGAGCAGCGUCCCCCAGGAGGCAGGUGGGAGGCUGCUCCGGCGCCGGGCCGCCCUCGGAGCCCGGCAUCCGGAGGGGUCCAGGGCACCUGGAGUUUCCGACCAAGUAAAGGAAAAAGAUGAACGUUGUCACUUCAGCCAGGAUUUGGGAUCCUCACUGCCCCAGAGCGACGACGCUAAUUCAUUGAUGAAACACCUUCCAAAGCCUUUCAAAUAUCUGUAGGUAGAGUAGAAUCCUCGCUGACGUUCUUGAUGGCAAAAGAAUUCCAAGAAAGCGGGCCAGGAGCCUCCAAGCAGCUCGCUCCAAGCCAGAAGGGAAAUAAGUGGGUCUCAGCCAGAGGACACAAGGCCUUGUGUUAACUCGACCUAGAAACCCCAAC